GACGAACGCUGGCGGCGUGCUUAACACAUGCAAGUCGAACGAUGAACCCGGAGCUUGCUCCGGUGGAUUAGUGGCGAACGGGUGAGUAACACGUGAGUAACCUGCCCUUGACUCUGGGAUAACUGCGGGAAACUGUAGCUAAUACCGGAUACGACCCUCGGCGGCAUCGCCAGGGGGUGGAAAGAAUUUCGGUCAAGGAUGGACUCGCGGCCUAUCAGCUAGUCGGUGAGGUAACGGCUCACCAAGGCGACGACGGGUAGCCGGCCUGAGAGGGGGACGGGCCACAUUGGGACUGAGACACGGCCCAGACUCCUACGGGAGGCAGCGGUGGGGAAUAUUGCAAAAUGGGCGAAAGCCGGAGGCAGCAAGGCCGCGGGAGGGAUGACGGCCUUCGGGUUGUAAACCUCUUUUAGUAGGGAAGAAGCGAAAGUGACGGUACCGGCAGAAAAAGCACCGGCUAACUAGGUGCCAGCCGCCGCCGUAA
rnacentral:rRNA from 1 species